AGUUCGAGGGAUAAGGAAGAAAGAGAUAAAGAAAUAGAACAGUUUGUGGGCCAAUGGGAGGUGACAUGGCCCAAAGUGGAACGGUGAUCACAAAAGGAUCGCACGCUCCGCACGCGACCGGCCCGAGCGUUUUCCAUUUUCUUGGCAGCCGUUCAUCAAGGAGUCAACGCCCUUCCCAUCGCCAGACACAGUGAUAGGCUGACAGCACUGGGCGGAGUCAAGGCCCUUCCCAUCGACAGUGAUAGACUGACAGCACCGGGCGCCCUUGUCCUACGGCUCCACACCCACCUCCCCCCGCCCUCCGCCGAGUCGCGCCUCUUCUCCUACCGGCCCGGCGGCGCUUGCGCCGAAGUCUCCCGCCGUUCCACGGCCGCGCGUUGCCCUGCCGGUUUCUUUGGAAGAGAAUGGCGGGAGGCAGUGAGGCUAGGGGCGGGGAGUGCGGCUACUACACGACGGACGACGCGCUCUCCCAGGUGGGCUUCGGGAGGUUCCAGGCGCUGGUGCUGGCCUACGCCGGCGUGGGCUGGACCGCGGAGGCCAUGGAGAUCAUGAUGCUGUCCUUCGUCGGCCCGUCCGUGAAGGACGAGUGGGGAAUCUCGGGCCAGCAGGAGGGGCUCAUCACCAGCGUCGUCUUCGCCGGGAUGAUCAUCGGGGGCUUCCUCGGGGGCGUCAUCUCGGACUCGUAUGGCAGAAGGAUUGGUUUUCUAUUCACCGCGGUUGUCACUGGCAUAUUUGGUUUUCUCAGUGCUUUGUCACCUAACUACAUGUGCCUAUUAACCCUCCGCUUUAUUGUCGGUAUGGGAUUGGGUGCUGGUCAUGUUCUUGGUACAUGGUUCCUAGAGUUUGUUCCUGCUGCAAACAGGGGUACUUGGGUGGUUGUCUUCCAUUGUACUUGGACUUUUGGAACAAUCCUUCAGGCUCUUAUUGCAUGGGCUAUCAUGCCAGUACUUGGAUGGAGGUGGUUGAUAGCGUUGUCUUCAACACCAUGUUUCAUUCUGCUUAUUUUCUAUGGUAUAACACCUGAAUCACCACGGUACCUCUGCUCAAGAGGUAGAACAGCUGAUGCUCAAUUUAUUUUGGAGAGAAUAGCAAUAAUGAACAACAUGGCUCUGCCCUCUGGCACCUUAAUAGUUGCCCCACAAAGAAGGUCUGAUGAUGUUGUUGAUGCGGAGACAAUAGUACCGCUGAUUCUUUCACAAGAUAGUGCUGCAACUGACGUUUGCAUGAGCUCCUCUAUAUCCAGAUCUAUUAAUGCAUUCCGUACACUUGUGUCACGAAGCCUGAUUAGAUCUACACUUCUUCUUUGGUUUGUCUACUUUGCCUUUUGUUUUGCUUACUAUGGUAUAGUAUUGCUAACAUCGGAACUAAGCAAUGGUGGAAGGAGAUGUGGACCUGUUGGAAUGCAUUUGUGGCAGCGAAAUGAUGCCAGACUCUACAGAGAUGUCCUGGUGACAAGUAUUGCGGGCUCACAGCUCAUUUGCAUGCACAGACACGUGUAUACAAUUAGAUAUCAAUGAGUGAUCUAAAAAAUGGUGGAUAUUCAAGGGGGUGGGAGAUAGAGUAUUGCUCUUGAUUUGGAAGCGUCUUCGCCCUAUACCUGUUUAAUCUCUGAAUGUUUGGAUUAAAAACUGGUUUCAGGAUUACUGGAACAAUACCAUUUCCUAAAUCAAUAAGAUUUAUUAAUUAAAUAGCUAAAGCUUUGGUUUAUUCCAUGACAGAAUUUCCUGGUCUGAUUUUGGCGGCUCUAUUUGUUGACAAAGUUGGUCGCAAACUGUCAAUGGGAGCGUUUGCUUUUCUGUGCCUUGUUUCCAUCGCACCACUUGCUGCACCUCUAGAAGAAGGUUUAGCAACCGUCCUUCUAUUCAGUGCCCGGACUUGUAUCACAGGAAGUUAUGCUGUUCUCUAUAUUUACGGCCCUGAGAUCUACCCUUCAUCAUGUCGGAACACCGGAGUGGGUGUCGCGACUUCUCUCGGCCGGAUAGGUGGCAUGAUUGCCCCACUCAUAGCUGU